GAGUUUGAUCAUGGCUCAGGACGAACGCUGGCGGCGUGCCUAAUACAUGCAAGUCGAACGAACUCUGGUAUUGAUUGGUGCUUGCAUCAUGAUUUACAUUUGAGUGAGUGGCGAACUGGUGAGUAACACGUGGGAAACCUGCCCAGAAGCGGGGGAUAACACCUGGAAACAGAUGCUAAUACCGCAUAACAACUUGGACCGCAUGGUCCGAGUUUGAAAGAUGGCUUCGGCUAUCACUUUUGGAUGGUCCCGCGGCGUAUUAGCUAGAUGGUGGGGUAACGGCUCACCAUGGCAAUGAUACGUAGCCGACCUGAGAGGGUAAUCGGCCACAUUGGGACUGAGACACGGCCCAAACUCCUACGGGAGGCAGCAGUAGGGAAUCUUCCACAAUGGACGAAAGUCUGAUGGAGCAACGCCGCGUGAGUGAAGAAGGGUUUCGGCUCGUAAAACUCUGUUGUUAAAGAAGAACAUAUCUGAGAGUAACUGUUCAGGUAUUGACGGUAUUUAACCAGAAAGCCACGGCUAACUACGUGCCAGCAGCCGCGGUAAUACGUAGGUGGCAAGCGUUGUCCGGAUUUAUUGGGCGUAAAGCGAGCGCAGGCGGUUUUUUAAGUCUGAUGUGAAAGCCUUCGGCUCAACCGAAGAAGUGCAUCGGAAACUGGGAAACUUGAGUGCAGAAGAGGACAGUGGAACUCCAUGUGUAGCGGUGAAAUGCGUAGAUAUAUGGAAGAACACCAGUGGCGAAGGCGGCUGUCUGGUCUGUAACUGACGCUGAGGCUCGAAAGUAUGGGUAGCAAACAGGAUUAGAUACCCUGGUAGUCCAUACCGUAAACGAUGAAUGCUAAGUGUUGGAGGGUUUCCGCCCUUCAGUGCUGCAGCUAACGCAUUAAGCAUUCCGCCUGGGGAGUACGGCCGCAAGGCUGAAACUCAAAGGAAUUGACGGGGGCCCGCACAAGCGGUGGAGCAUGUGGUUUAAUUCGAAGCUACGCGAAGAACCUUACCAGGUCUUGACAUACUAUGCAAAUCUAAGAGAUUAGACGUUCCCUUCGGGGACAUGGAUACAGGUGGUGCAUGGUUGUCGUCAGCUCGUGUCGUGAGAUGUUGGGUUAAGUCCCGCAACGAGCGCGACCCUUAUUAUCAGUUGCCAGCAUUAAGUUGGGCACUCUGGUGAGACUGCCGGUGACAAACCGGAGGAAGGUGGGGAUGACGUCAAAUCAUCAUGCCCCUUAUGACCUGGGCUACACACGUGCUACAAUGGAUGGUACAACGAGUUGCGAACUCGCGAGAGUAAGCUAAUCUCUUAAAGCCAUUCUCAGUUCGGAUUGUAGGCUGCAACUCGCCUACAUGAAGUCGGAAUCGCUAGUAAUCGCGGAUCAGCAUGCCGCGGUGAAUACGUUCCCGGGCCUUGUACACACCGCCCGUCACACCAUGAGAGUUUGUAACACCCAAAGUCGGUGGGGUAACCUUUUAGGAACCAGCCGCCUAAGGUGGGACAGAUGAUUAGGGUGAAGUCGUAACAAGGUAACC
rnacentral:rRNA from 2 species